GAUGAAGAACGCAGUGAAAUGCGAUAAGUAAUGCGAAUUGCAGAAUCCGUGAGUCAUCGAAUCUUUGAACGCACAUUGCGCCCCUUGGUUAUUCCGAAGGGCAUGCCUGUCCGAGCGUCAUUGCAACCCUCAAGCGCGGCUUGUGUGUUGGGCUUCGUCCCCCCGUGGACGUGCCCGAAAGGCAGUGGCGGCGUCCCGAAUGGUGCCCGAGCGUAUGGGAACUCUCUUCCGCUCGAACCGGCCCAUUCGGCGCUGGUCGAACCCCAAUUUUUUUUUACCGGUUGACCUCGGAUCAGGUAGGGAUACCCGCUGAACUUAAGCAUAUCAAUAAGCGGAGGA
rnacentral:misc_RNA from 1 species